rnacentral:rRNA from 1 species
GAUUAUGGCUCAGGACGAACGCUGGCGGCGUGCUUAACACAUGCAAGUCGAGCGGAGAAUAUAGCAAUAUAUCUUAGCGGCGGACGGGUGAGUAACGCGUGGGUAACCUGCCUUUUACAGGGGGAUAACACUGGGAAACUAGUGCUAAUACCGCAUAAAAUAGUGAAGUGGCAUCACUUUACUAUCAAAGGAGCAAUCCGGUAAAAGAUGGACCCGCGUCCGAUUAGCUAGUUGGAGGGGUAACGGCCCACCAAGGCGACGAUCGGUAGCCGAACUGAGAGGUUGAUCGGCCACAUUGGGACUGAGACACGGCCCAGACUCCUACGGGAGGCAGCAGUGGGGAAUAUUGCGCAAAGUGGGGGAAACCCUGACGCAGCAACGCCGCGUGAAGGAUGAAGGUUUUCGGAUUGUAAACUUCUUUGAUUGGGGACGAUAAUGACGGUACCCAAAAAACAAGCCACGGCUAACUACGUGCCAGCAGCCGC